AACGUAGGACGCAAGCGUUAUCCGGAGUUACUGGGCGUAAAGCGCGGGCAGGCGGCCUGGAAAGUCUGAUGUGAAAGCGCCCGGCUCAACCGGGCGAGGCCAUUGGAAACUAGCAGGCUGGAGGGCAGUAGAGGCAGGCGGAAUUCCGGGUGGAGUGGUGAAAUGCGUAGAGAUCCGGAGGAACACCAGAGGCGAAGGCGGCCUGCUGGGCUGCACCUGACGCUGAGCCGCGAAAGCCAGGGGAGCGAACGGG
rnacentral:rRNA from 1 species